AUGUCCAUCGUUGAUGGCUCGGAGCCGGCUCCGGACAAGGUUGUCGCUAGCGCUGAAGGAAGUCCGCCGGUUCCCAAUCCUGAGUACCUCUCGUGGUUGACGAGGGACCAGCACUGCUUGAGCUUUCUUCUAUCAACUCUCUCCAACAACACUCUGUUGCAGGUGCUCUUCUUGCCGUCAUCAGCGGCGGUGUGGAGCGCACUGGAGAGGACCUACGUGACCCGCUCUAGGGCGCACGUGAUGCAACUCCGCCGCCAGCUCGCCACCAUCCAGAAGAGGGACAUGACGAUGGUGGACUACUUCACCAAGGUCAAGGGCCUCAUUGACGCCUUCGCCGCCGCCGGAAAGCAGCUGUAUGAUGAGGAUAUUAUCAUCUAUCUUCUGACCGGCCUCAACUCCAGCUAUGAUCUGCUCAUCACCUCGGUCACCACGAGGGCAGAGGCGAUCUCCCUCAACGAUCUGUACUCUCAUCUGCUGAACUUUGAGAUCCGUCAUCAACACCACGAUCACAUCCUCCAGCUCCCCGGAUCAGGCGGCUCCUCUGCGAACCACAUCAGCCGCGGCGCUGGCGGCAACGGCAGUGGUGGCGGCGGUGCAGGUGGCAACCGCAACUGCAACCCUGGAGGCAACCGCAACCGCAACAUAGGAGGUGGUGGCGGCGGUAACGGCAGCAGCAACAACCGCAGCUGCGGUUCCCCGGGACACAACCACAACUGUGGUGACCCGAGCCACAACCACGGCCGUGCCUGUGGUGCUCCCAACUCCGACAGGGCCGGCGGCAAGAGUGACACCAUCUGAGUGCUCCGCCAACAAUGCCUCCACCGGCCAAGCAUUUGA
rnacentral:rRNA from 1 species